GACGAACGCUGGCGGCAGGCCUAACACAUGCAAGUCGAACGAGUGGCGGACGGGUGAGUAAUGUCUGGGAAACUGCCUGUUGGGGGGGGAUAACUACUGGAAACGGUAGCUAAUACCGCAUACCAUCAGAGGAGCCCAGAUGGGAUUGGCGUGUUGGUGGGGUAACGGCUCACCAAGGCGACGAUCCCUAGCUGGUCUGAGAGGAUGACCAGCCACACGGGAACGGAGACACGGUCCAGACUCCGACGUGAGGAAGCAGUGGGGAAUAUUGCACAAUGGGCGCAAGCCUGAUGCAGCAAUGCCGCGUGGAUGAAGAAGGCCUUGGGGUGGUAAAGUACUUUCAGCGGGGAGGCGUUACCCGAAGAAGAAGCACCGGCUAACUCCGUGCCAGCAGCCGCGGUAAUUC
rnacentral:rRNA from 1 species